UUUCCCAAGCAUUAAAACCCUAAACAAAACGAUAACCCAAGUCAUAAAGGAAGAAAACACUAUCGGGUCCACGCCAACGCACCGAUGCAGAUCUACAACCACAGUCACAGUCACCGAUGUAUCUUAUUUCUACUACUACAGGCAUCUAUGAAUCAUUUACUCCCCUAGGCGUUUGAAUGCAGUUAUAACUUGAUUCUAGUUGAUGAAGUUUGUGAUACCCUUAUCUAGUUGGGUUCUUGUUCAUAUCAAGAUACAUCUAUUUAACUCAAACCAAUCAUUUACCUUUGUUUUGACUGCCAGCUUGGACAAGCUCUUAGCAUAAACCAGUUAUGCUACAUUUUGUGUACUGUAAUAGCAUUUACAUUUGAGUCUUCAUCUUUUUCUACUUUUUAAAAUUUUGGAUAUUAUCUUUAUUUUGCAUCCCCAUAAAUGUUUGUGAGUAUAUAAGAAAGAUAAAAAAAAUAAAAUAAGUGCUUAUGAGUAAGAUGGAGGUGGAGAAUGAGAUGUGAUAGGUUAAACAAAAUUUAGACCUAAAUUUAGAGAAAGGUGAUGUUUAGUUAAGUUAUAGAGAUGAAGGCGGAGAUUCUACUGUGAAUGCACUACUGAGUUUCCUGAACUACAUGCUUAUAUUUUGGGAAAAAAAGUUUGUGAGGAUACUUCAUCAUUAUAUAGUGUUUUCAUAUUCUUUUUUGUAGUGCUGAUUGUUUUGUCGAGUACUUGUUAUGAAGUUUUCUUUUCUUUUGUUGAUUUUUUUGAAAAACAGAAGUAAAUGACUGUGUUUCUUUUGUUUAUUAUGUUGUAACAAUUGUCAUGAAUUUGCAUGAGAUGUUCUUUAGCCUUUUACAUUGACUUUGACGUGAGUUAUAUGCAUUUAUGUUUUGUUUCUGACUUUAAUUUUUCAUUUGGAGGUUGGUGUCAUUAAGUUCAUGAUCACUUAUGCAUAUAAGAAAACAAUGGGGUUUGUAAAGCUUUAUGACAGUGUUUAUGCUUCUUUUUUUGUAAUGCUUUCAAUCAGCAGCGAGGAUUGCUUAGGUUUCAGAUUUAGUGUGAUAGCGUGGCUCCUAUUUAGCCUCCUUUUGCUCGACUCGUGACACCUGGGUUUCGGAUUUAUUCCUUGAAGCUGGACACUAACGAUUGUCAAAAAUCCAUGUGGAGCUAAGCUCCGGGAGACUAGCAGUAAAAUGAGUUCCUAAGCAUGCAAUCCUUUCUUGAAUCAAUAUUUAGGUAAUUGAUGAGAAGAUUCAGUCCUUUAAUUUAUAAAAAAAUUAGGGCAGAGAUUAAAAGCCACGGAUUCACAACAGGCAGGGGUUAAUGUUCUAGUAGCUGGAUACUUAACUGGGAAAUAUAAGGAGGUCGGAUGUUUAUUUGGGAAAGAUAAUGUGAACGGUCACGCCUCGAGGAAGAAGUUGUGGAUGAACAUGUUCCUGUUCAGCCAAGUCUAAAUGAAACAUAAUGUGAAAUAUAAGGAGGUCGGAUGCUUAUUUGGGAAACAUAAUGUGAACGGUCACACCUCGAGGAAGAAGUUGUGGAUGAAUGUGUUCCUCUUCAGCCAAGUCCAAAUGAAACAUGCCUUUAUCCAAAACUAGAUCAUUCUGCAACCCAAGAGGAAAAGAAAUCGUAUGCUUUAACUGUGUGAUUAUGUUAACUAAACGUUCUACAUACACUUUAUUUUAUGUAUAAGCAUUUGGUAAAAUUGACUCGAUUUAUGUAUUUAUGUGAUGUGAUUUUAUAUAUAUUUAGUGA